CGAACUGAGGAUUGGGGUUCUCUAUUUCCCUUUCUCUUCCAGCGUCCUUCUUCCUUCUUUCUUCUUGGUCAGAGGCGCUCAGAUUAUUUGCUUCUUCUUUUUUUCUUCUUUUGUUGUCAUUUUUCUUCUUUCUCUAUCUUUUACUUCCUCAUCUCUCCUCCAGUCGCUCUCACCCUCAAAAACCAGAUCGAAAAACAUACCAAACACCAAACAACCAAAUCUGAAUCGUACCUUCGCCAUCCGUUUCGUCAUCCUUCUCUCUCAGCCUCUCACAUCCUGUUUCAUUUCCUAUGAAACCAAUCUUGGCCCAAAAUCCGUAAUACCCAAAUCAAAAAACCUAACACCUCAGCCCCAAAUACCUCCUCCAAUCACACGUGCUCUCUCGACUUCUUGCUUAGCAAUCAGUUGCUUGUCACACUCGAUUUCUGUUUAGCAAUCGAAAUCUUGUCGCUCGUUAGUAAAGCUUUGAAGAUAAGUUAUAGGUUUCUGGUAGUGAUUUGGCUUGAAAUCUGGUAGUGAUUUCAAUUCGCAGCAGUCAAUUUGAAGGUAUUGGAGUUCGAUUCGCAGCAGGCCAUUUGAAGGUAUUGGAGUUCGAUUCGCAGCAAGCCAUUUGAAGGUAUGAUUCCAAUUGAUUUCAUUAUAAAUCUGGGUUUGAGUUGUUCCGUUUGGAUAAAGUGAGUGUUAUGGUCCUUCUCGGUGUUUACAUGACCCUUGCAUUUGGGAGCUCGUGGUCUAUAUUUAUUAGGACUGUGUUGGUAGCUACCUUUGGUCUAGAAGCUGCACAGAAAUUCUUUCUGAAGAUGCUUAGGAGUGUUUUCUGCGCACCAAUGUCUUUCUUUGAUUCUACUCCUGCUGGACGGAUUUUGAAUUGUGUAAGUUUCUUAUUUAUCUUUCUUUGCUUUCUGCAUGCUUUUACUUGUGAGCUUUCCACAUGGAACCAUUGAUCCAAGUAAGUUCAUGUUUUCUAUUGCUGAAAGUUAUCUCUAUGUUAUCAUGAGGAACUGAGUGUGGUAAAAACAUGUUGAGGGAAGUGGUGAGUAAGUAUAUGUACACUUCUAUUUCACAGUGUACAGAAAAGAAUGAAAAUUCUUUAAACUAGAUGGUGCAAAUAAGAGUAUGACAUGUUAUCUUUUUCAUGUUGACAUUUUCCGUUUGGCAUGACUAUUAAUUAUAACUGAAUUAAAAUCUUUCAUUCUUUAAACUAGAUGGUGCUAAGAGUAUGACAUGUUAUCUUUUUCAUGUUGACAUUUUCCAUGACUAUUAAUUAUAACCGAAUUAAAAUCUAUGAGCUUAUAAUUUUGAACUAGCAAGUAUCCUAUCUUAUCUUGUUUUUAGCUCAAUUCAUUGUGGCCUUUUCAUUCAGUAUGACAUUUCAGUGUGCACUGUAGUGUAAAACGCUCAUUUUGCUAUGUGCCUCUUGUAUUAAUCAACAUAACAUUUUGUCAUUGGGAUUUCUCCAUUUUGUUAUUGCCUGCUCUUUGGAUAAUUAUCAUGUAGCUCAAGACUACAUAAUGAAGGUUCGAUGUUGGACAAGGAGUUCAGAAGUUCAAAGCGAGUGAUAAUGUUGUAGCAUUUCACCAUGUGAGAAGAGCCUCUGCUUCAGAAUUGGAAUGAACAGUAGUAGUAAGAGAAAAUGCUAACAACUGAAGCUGCUUUGUGUUAACUACUUGUUUCUAUGUACUUAUUAUGUCAAGAAAAUGUACUGAUGACUUGUACUGUACUUUUUAUGUCAAGAUAAUGUACUGAUGACUUGUACAUAUGGAGUUGCUAAUAUAGAUAUGUAACUGAUUCUUUGCCUA